CAGUGAAAUCUGCAUGAGUAAAAUCUGCAUCAAAUCCGCACCAAUUGAUGCGUAUUGACCGCAUGGAUUUCCCUACGAACAUCUGCGGAUUUCAGUGCGGAUUGUCCGCACAUAUAUCCUGAAUGUGGGCAUUUACCCUUAA